ensembl:misc_RNA
GAACUUUAUAAAGGCCAUCUGGCUGCAGUAUCUGACACCCCACUGAUUGAAAGGAUCUAAGCUAAAGAUCUGGCUGGCAAGGAGGGCGUUCCUCUCCUCCCUAACUCCUCCAAUCCAGAGUGGCACACUUAGUCACACCCGAGGAGUACCAGCCGUUGGCCAGGGUGUAUGAAAAGCUGCACUCCCUGCUAGAACCUCCAAAGAAACUCUCAAGUACCCACAAGCACGUAGCACUCCAUCCUGAAGGAGGGUUUGCUGGGUGUACUUCAAGAUGGGGACACAAUGAGA